ACGAGAGGAGGCUUUGUCCCCACUGUAGGGAGGCGGGUCUAGGGUCGGGGGUAUCGCCGCCUGCGAGGACCGCCUGGAGACCUCGGUGCCCGCGACUGCCCGGGUCGCUCAGCUGUCAUCACCUCACUCCGCCCAGAGGCUCCGAUGGCGGCGGCCGCGCGCAGGGACCCGGCUCCGGUUUCCAUGGUUGCAGAAGUGCUUUUGGAACCUACACAGGGAAGUGUGACUUUUGAGGACGUGGCCCUAUAUUUCUCCUGGGAGGAAUGGGAUCUCCUAGAUGAGGCUCAGAGAUGCCUGUACCAUGAUGUGAUGCUGGAGAACUUUGCACUCACAUCCUCACUAGGUUGUUGGCAUGGAGUGGAGGAUGAGGAUGCACCUUCUGAAGAGAGCAUUUCUAUAGGAGUGUCACAGAUUGGGGCUCUCAAGGCAGUUUCAUCUUUCCAGAAGGCCCAGCCCUUUGAACUGCAUGGCCCAAUCUUGAGAAACAUUUUGUACUUGGCUGAGCACCAGGAAACAUAUCUUGGGGAAGAACCAUAUACAUGUAGGAAACAAUUCUGUUUAACUGCCAAUCUUCAACAGUUCCAGGGGCAGCACACUAGAGAGAUACCCUUCAGAAGUUAUGUGGACAGAGCCUCCUUUAUAAAGAACUGUACAGUCCACGUGUCAGGGAAGCCCUUUACCUGUGAGGAGACACGGAAGGACUUCUUAGCCAGCGUGGGAUUUCUCCAACAACAGGUCACUCACACUGGGAGGAACCCGAACAAUGAGUGUGAGGCUGUCUUUCACAGUGGUAGAAGUCAUCACAACUGUGGAGAAUGCAAGAAAGCCUUCAGCUACACAGACACACUUGCUCAGGACCAGAGAGUUGUCACUAGAGAAGGAAUUUAUGAGUGUGGCAAAUGUGGAAAAGCCUGUACCCGAAGAUGUAACCUCAUUCAACACCAGAAAGUCCACACUGGAGAAAGACCUUACGAAUGCAGUGAAUGUGGAAAAUUCUUCACCUAUUAUUCCAGUUUCAUUAUACAUCAGAGAGUUCACACUGGAGAAAGGCCCUAUGAGUGCAAUGAAUGUGGGAAAUCCUUUAGCCAAAGCUACAGCCUCAAUAGCCAUAGGAAAGUUCACACUGGAGAGAAGCCUUAUGAGUGCAGGGAAUGUGGAAAAUCUUUCAGCCAAAGGUCCAACCUCAUUCAACAUCAGAGAGUUCACACUGGAGAAAGGCCUUAUGAGUGCAGUGAAUGUGGGAAGUCCUUUAGCCAAAACUUCAGUCUCAUUUACCACAGGAGAGUUCACACAGGAGAAAGGCCUCAUCAGUGCAGUGAAUGUGGGAAAUCCUUCAGCCGAAGCUCCAGCCUCAUUCACCACAGGAGACUUCACACUGGAGAAAGGCCUUAUGAGUGCAGUAAAUGUGGGAAAUCCUUUAAGCAAAGCUCCAGCUUCAGUUCACAUCGGAAAGUCCACACAGGGGAAAGGCCUUAUGAGUGUGGGGAAUGUGGAAAAUCCUUUAGCCAUAGCUCCAACCUCAAGAACCACUGGAGAGUUCACACUGGAGAAAGGCCUAUUGAGUGCAGUGAGUGUGGAAAGUCCUUUAGCUGCAAAUCUAACCUCGUUAAACACCUGAGAGUUCACACUGGAGAAAGGCCUUAUGAGUGUGGGGAAUGUGGAAAAUCCUUUAGCCAAAGCUCCAGCCUCAUUCAACAUCGGAGAGUUCACACUGGAAAGAGGCCUACUGAGUGCAGAGAAUGUGGGAAAUCCUUUAGCUCCAAAUCUGACCUCAUUCAACACCAGAGACUUCAUACUAGAGAAAGGCCUUAGAUGUACAGGGCUGUGCAGUUUCCUUUUAGAUAAUUACACUGGAGGAGAGAUGUUGUGAGGAAGCCAUCUACCUAAAUUUAAGCCUGUACAUGUUAAAAUCCACAAUGGGGAGAUCUCCCUUUAGUUGAAGUAUGUGUGAAUCUAUAACUGUCUAGGGAUCUUGCCUGAUUUAUGUCACUACCAGUUUCCGUGGAAGAGUUUUGUCACCUCUACCACUCAGCACGUUCAUACAGUGUGCAUUAGUACAUUAGUUAACCACCACAAUGUGCUCAGGGAAGCUGCCUCUUUCCCUCCCCUUCUGCUGGAGGAAAUCAUGAUUAUUCUUAGCCCUUAUAGGGUCUUCAUUCUCUUCUCAUGUAGAAGUUAGGGCAUGGCCCAGUGGACCCAAUCUGAGUUCUGCUGGUAACUUGCCAAGAAGGACCGCAUUUUCACGGAUGUGUUAGUUUUGUGCGACACUCCUCUUGGAUUUUCCUAUCCUCCAAGUCACCAACCUGGGAUCUCCCUGCCUCAUAUUGCUUUGGAUUUUAUAGUAAUAAAGACAUUAUUGUUGGGGUUCUAUUCACUGUGUGAGGUGAUUUGAAAAUGGCUGGGCUCUGCCAGCAUAAAGGAGUGAACAGCUUUGCUGGGGUUCCCAAUGCUUUGUGUGCCUCAGAGAUGACAGUCUGAUGAAAGAAAAUAGCUCUCUUUCCAGCUUUGGCCUAAUUUACAUGGUUGCCUGAGGUCUCCUAGGAAAGACUGCAGGGCCUUGUCCUAAUUUAUGGACUGGGUAUCAGAAUUUUUUUGUGGGCUCAGAGAACACUCCGAAGAGUCAGGAAGUUGUGACAACCUCCAGUGCUUCUGAGAACUACACGAAUUGUUUUUCUUUCACAGUGGAUGUCAUAUAAUGCUCAGUAGUGUUGAGGGGAAUCUCUACCCCAUGUCCUGCAAAGGAGCCAUGUGCCCUGAUACCCAGAAUUCUCUAGGCUAGUGUCAUGGUGAGAACACAGGGCCCUGGGGGAACUAUAAUCGGUACAAUAACACUGCAGUGGAGAAGACUGCAGCAAAGUAGAUGGCAUGUGCCCCUUCUAGCAUUGCGUCAACAAAUGCUCCAGUGACUGACUGUGCAGGCUCAGUGUGCCCAGAAACUCUCAGGACCUCCAGCGGGAAUUGCCCAGGACUCGGACCAGGACGCCCAGACACCUCACCUGCCAGACUGUCCAUGGAGCCUGGGACCAAGUAACCCCACCCCGACAUCUCCAUGUGAGGCUCUCCACAUCAUCAGUGUCACCAUAGACCAUCCUGUCCCCUUACCACCAUUGCCAACAAUUCCUCCCCAAGGAGGGAGGAAGCCUAAAUAUGGCUUCUGGGUGACCCCUCCACUCUGUGCCCCCAUACUGAGCUGUCACCCAGUUAUCACCAUCACUAUUAUGGUGUGAGGCCCUGAAAGACUGAGAGUAGCCACUGAGACCCUCACAUAUCCCUGCCCGCAGCUCUUGCAGGAGACCUUAGUGCUUACAGCUCUUCCUCACCAUUGUUAGUAAAUUGCAAAUUGUUCAAACAAUGGCUACUAACCUGCUAGAAAUUUCCCAUCCCUCCUAUAAAGCCCAUAAACCUCCCACCUUCCUCUCCUAACCAGACCAAGGCUUCUCGGCCCUAGGGGCAAGUAUUUCUGUGUAAAGACUUCUAGGUUCCAGCUGGUUUCCCCCCACCAUGUGCCAGUCUUCAAACCUGUGUGAGCCUCCAGGCUGUACCAAGGUGUGCACCCAACACCCAUCCCCCUCAUCACACUUGGUCCUUGGGGACUGUGCAGUUCUGUGUGUUGUUUGGGUGUCCCUAUGACAUCCCUGUCUCAUGAGUCUCUGUAUUUGUGCAUUUGUGUUGCCAGGCUAUGGUGAGGUCUGGAAGGGUCCCCAGCGCAGGAGUUUCUGUCCCCAUGGACAGCCUGGAAUGUGGGUGUUCACCAAGUUCUCUAAACUCUGUGUGGUAUGACUGAUCAUUAACUCGAUCUCUAUCUCCUCUCCAACUCGUGGAGGAUGGGGCUGAAAGUUUCAAGGUUCUACUCAUGAUUUGGUCUUUCUGGUGACCAGUCCCCAUCCUGAAGCUAUCCAGGAGUUGUCUCACUGAAAUGAAAGACAUUCCUAUCACCCAGAAAAUUCCAAAUGACUUAGGGGUUCUGUAUCAGGAACCAGGGUCAAAGACCAAGUAUUAGAACAAAAGAUGUUUCUAGUGCUCUCAUCACUUAAGAAAUUACAAGGGUUUUAGCAGCUCUGUGCCUGGAACUAGGGACAGAGACCAACAUAUGUUUUCUAUUAUUUCACAACUCACCUCACAGAGAUCUUUCCAAACAAAAGCUUUCCUUUGUACCAAGAGGUAUGUGCAAGGAUAUUCACAAUAGCAAACACCUGGAGACAGCUCAGGAAAGAGGACAGAUAAAUGGGCUUCUCCAUACAGUGGAGCAUUAUCUGCAGCCCCAUUAUCCUCUGUAUUAUGGAUGCAGUGAGAGAAAUGUCAUAAUUUACCCCACAGAAUACCCCCUUCCAUGAUUCAAGCCAUUUCCACAUGGUACCUUCUAGUUUCUCAGUGUAAGUGAGCCCUAAUUUCCUAGUGGAAACUAGCUCACAAAUGUAUUCCAAGUAACCAGCGUAAGUGCUUUUUGCCUCUGCUGUGCACAGAAUAUUUUCAUUUCCUCCAAACUGCCCUUUCAAACUAGUUCUGCAAAUAAGCUCCUCAUCCCCCAAUACCUGCCAUCUCUGGAAGAAAUGAAUGGAAAGCAUUUGCCCUUUUUUGGUAUUUAUUUGUCAAUAAAAUAGCAUUCUGAAACUUUCAGUCACCAAUCAUAUCAGGUCCAGUUUAGCUAUUAAUAUUUCCAGUGAAUUACAGAAAUAUAUCAUUUGAAUAUAAAGGUUCCCUUUUAUAGGCUAAGGCCUAUUUCUGGGUUUCUGCCUCUGCUCUCCACCUUUUUAGGUGCAUGUGGCCCAGUAAAGAUAAACUGUGUGGACAGAGGACAGGGGAGCAGGAGGGAAAGCAUCACUUGACCACUGGAAGCUGGUGUUUGUGUCCUGGAGUUGGACAUUCCUGGAUUUUAAAGAAUAAACACCAACAUUACACAUUCAUCCAUUUAUUGAGCAGAUUAUUUAUUGGUUAUUUGAAAUUUGUCAACCAAAUAUCAGUACCUGAGAUACUCUAGUGAACAAACUAAGAAAUUUCUCCUUAAACUUAUAUUUUAGCGAAGACAAUAGAUGGAAAAUAUAAUCAGGAAAGUAUAUGUUCUAAAUAGGGAAGUACUAUAGAAAUAUACAUAUUUGCAUACAUAUUUAUGUAUCAUUCCAUUGGGGCUGCACCCAAGGAAGCUUCUGGUGUGGAGGGAAUACCUCUGAAGGCAAUUUUCUGGUGAGUUCUCAGGUGGCGGUGGUAGGUGGACGACUGGCGGUACCUUCUAUGGCAGAGGGAACAUUCAUAGGGCUUCUCUCCUGUGUGGAUUCUCUCAUGUGCCAGAAGGUUGGUUUUGUGGCUGAAGGAUUUUUCACACGUGCUGCACGUGAAAGGCUUCUCUUCUGCAUGAAUCUUCUGAUGCACGUGUAGGUCUGAUGCUUGGAAGAAGCCUUUGUUACACUCAGCACAAGUAAAUGUCCUCUCGUUAUCGUGUCUUCUCUGAUGGGCUUUUAGCUGAGAGAAAUACCUAAAGAUCUUGGGACACUUUUCACAUCUGUAUGAGUUGUGGGCUUCAUGGCAUCUUCCUUGGUGUCCCCCACAUGUGGAGCUCCCCUCAGUUCUCUGGUGGGUAGGAACAGGCUCAGGGAUGACCUGGAUUGACUGAGAGAGAAACCCUGGUCCCCCCUCUAUAAGGACAUCUUGAUAUAAGGGUCCCUUCAGGGACCCUUCCUUGGACCUGGAUGUGCCUAGACCUGCUCUUCCAGAGCUGAGCAGAUUCUUCAAAGAAACACUGUCCUCUUCAAGCCUAGGACAGUCCUCUUCCUGGAUAAUGAGCAGGGAAGGUAUUUCAUUGCCUUCACUAGUAAUACUGUCAUUCAUGUGAUAAAUAUAGUCUCCAUUUUUUUUAUCUUUAUCUCCUGUGUGGGGAUAAAGUGACUCAGUGAAGUUGUACCCAAGAAUGAGUCCACACACAACAUCCCUCUAGUACCUUGGCUUACCCCACUCACCUUGUCCUGUUUCCAGGGAAGUUUCUUGGGGAAUCCAGGAGGGUGUCCCCAUGUUCUCUUCUGUUGGGGUCCUUGCUGGCAACUGUUUCAUGAAGUGAACAAUGACUUCUCUUAAGGGCAUAUUCUCAGAAAAGAGGGCUUCCUGCCCCUGCAUGUGGACGUGAACCUGUAAACAAAGCCUGAUCACUAUUGUAUAUGGAUCUGUUGAGUGCCAGAAGCCUUUGUGGAAGACCUGCUUUCAUGAGGCUUUCCCAAGAUCCCUCUACUACAUGCUGUCACACCCACUAUUCUGCCCUUAUCCCUGCUGGCCUUAAAAAUUCAUGGUAAUUUCUAAUUAGUGUGUCAUUUUCAAUGAGAAAAGACUAAUACUAGGGUGUUCUGAGGGAAGAAUGAGGUUGUGUGAAGUCAUUUCUCCCCAUUCUUGAGGUUUCUGCUCUAUUGUCAAUUUCUUUUUUUUUUUUUAAGAUUUUAUUUAUUUAU